AAAGUACUCCCUCCGUCCCAAAAUUCUUGUCUUGGAUUUUUCUAGAUACGGAUGUAUCAAGUCACAUUUUAGUAUUAGAUACAUCCGUAUCUAGACAAAUCUAAGAUAAGAAAUUUGGGACAGAGGGAGUAGUUG
rnacentral:pre_miRNA from 1 species